rnacentral:rRNA from 1 species
AAGCAAAAAAAAGCAGGAGUUAACCCCCGUACCUUUUGCAUCACAGUUUAGCAAGAACACGCAAACAAGACGCCUCCAAGUCUGCCCCCCCGAACGCAAGUGAGCUAUUUUUAAACAGUUUAAAGAACAAACCCAUUUCUGUAGCAAAAGAACGGGAAGAUUUAAAAAUAGCGGUGAAAAGCCAACCGAACUUGCUGAUAGCUGGUUGCCUGACACAUGAACUUUAGUUCAAACCUGACACACACCAUAAACAAAUAUGUACCCUUUAACCCAGGAACUAGUCAACGAAGGUACAGCUCCAUUGACACAGGACACAGCCUUUAUUAGAGAGAAAACAGCUACAAAAGCACUGUAGGCCUCAAAACAGCCACCAUAGAGUAUUACGUUACAGUAACACAACAAAAAUACAAUACAAUCCCACCUCCUACCAAAACCCCAGGCCAUUCUAUUAUGUCCAACAUAGAAGAAACAAUGCUAAAAUUAGUAAUAAGAAGCACUCUUCACGGACAAAAGUUUUUCAUCAUCAGACCACAAACACAUGAAAUCCGCUCCACAGAUCAUAAAACACACUGUAAGCCCAACCAAGGUUUGUCCACGAAAGACCAACAACCUAAAAAGGAACUCGGCAAACUUCCUCUCCAACUGUUUACCAAAAACAUAGCCUUUAGCCCCACCACAAUUAAAGGUACCGCCUGCCCAAUGAGACCUCCCCCUUAAACGGCCGCGUAUAUAACCGUGCAAAGGUAGCAAAAUCAUUCGUCCCACAAAUAGGGACCAGUAUGAACGGCAACAUGAGAGAGAAACUGUCUCUUUAGGCCAGCCAAUGAACUUGACCUUCCUGUACAAACGCAGGAAUACGAAAACAAGACAAAAAGACCCUGUGAAACUUCAAGUGUCCGUCAAACCAAUGGCCGAGACACUUUAGGUUGGGGCAACCUAAGAGAAACACAAACCUCAUCAUCAAUCGCACGGCAAACAGGCCAACCGAUCACACCAAUAGACCCAGUAAAACUGACUAAAGAACCAAGCUACUCCAGGGAUAACAGCGCCACAUUCUUGAAGAGUCCACAUCAACAAGAAUACCUACGACCUCGAUGUUGGAUUAGGGUAUCCUAAUGGCGCAAAAGCUAUUAAGGGCUCGUUUGUCAACGAUUAAAA